rnacentral:lncRNA from 1 species
CGUGACAUACAUUACUAAAAAUGGCAGUAUUGUAAGUCUUACUAAGUUCUUUGUCGUCUGAAUACUACAUGUGACGUACUAGUUCAAAAUGGCGAUAUUGCAAGUCUUACUCAGUUCUUUGUCGUCUGAAUACUACAUCUGACGUACUAAUUCAAAAUGGCCAUAUUGUAAGUCUUUUUGAUAUGGGACGAGCUCUGUCGUCCAAUGGCCCCAGAUUGUCUCAUGGGCAAACCAGUCGAGCAGAGUAAGCUCGACCUUAUUGAAAAUAAAAUGAAAAAUAUUAAAAACUAAAAAAUAAAUUAAAAAGGGAAACAAGGAUGUUCAUUCUCGAAGUCCUUGUGAUUAAAUUCACAAAAUUACAGCAACCGUCGACGCAAAAUAGAACCAAACACCAUCCGAGGUUUAUCGUUUUAUCCAUAUAAACCAAAUAUUAAAAUUUGAUUGAUUUUAGAAUUAAUUCAAAUUAAAUUCACCGUGGUAAUAUUAUAUUUAUACAAGUCGUUAUAGUGUCUGAUCGUCUUCAUAUUCCAGACUUGUUAUGACCGCUUUUGUAUCAAAC